ensembl:lncRNA
ACAGCGCCACUGUAUGAGGAACAGAGACACAAAGAAACGACACGCAUUCAACAAAACUCUUCAUACAGGACACAAGAACGUCACAGUUCAUGGAGUUCUUCAGUUCUUCAGGAGUCAUGAGGUUUGUUCUAGCCUUUGCCCUCGCUCUUCACUCAGUGCCACUGAGAUGUACAGCAGAUCCAGCUCCAGUGUGUCAGCCACACUCUACAUGCUCUGAGUGUUUGAAGAGUCCAGGAUGUGCGUGGUGCAAGCAGCUGGUAAGUUUCCUGAUUAUAACAACGAUUCUUAUUACAAUAUAAUUCUCAAGUUGUAUUUCACACAGCACUAUCACAGUGUUUAAGGGUUUACUUAUCUAACAAACCCGUGUACGGGGCGUGGCCACGUUUGAUCAUCAGUAGAUCAUGUGACCAUGAAAUCUCCAGCCUGUACCUGAGAUAAGAACUCUGUAACGUCCCUAAAACCUGCA